AUGACAAGCAAUAUGGCCAAAUGCUUCAAUAGGGUGCUCAAAGGUGCACGUGGAUUACCCGUGACGGCAAUAGUUCAAUACACAUUUGACAAGAUGAAUGCGUACUUUCUAAAGUACUCGAUGGAAACGGAUGCACAGAUAGCGGGUGAGAACCCGCGCAAGUACAAGUACAAGUUCCCACACAAGGUUGAUGAAUGGUUAGAAUUUCAAUCACGGAAGGCGGACUCAGAAGAAGCUAUAUUAUAUGACAACGAAGAGUGGAAGUACGAAGUGAAAGAGCCAGGAGGAAUCACAAACGAUGGCCGGCAACAUGGUGGUCGGGCUUUCAAGGUGUCAUUAACACAAUGUGAUUGCUCUUGCGGGAGGCCAUUGUUGCUUCAUCUCCCAUGCUCACACUUGUAUACCGCCGGUCGCGUUAGGAAUGUGGACUCAAUCACCCACGCACCAUGA
rnacentral:rRNA from 1 species